rnacentral:rRNA from 1 species
UACGUAGGGUGCGAGCGUUGUCCGGAAUUAUUGGGCGUAAAGAGCUCGUAGGCGGCUUGUCGCGUCUGCUGUGAAAACUGGGGGCUCAACCCCCCAGCCUGCAGUGGGUACGGGCAGACUAGAGUGCGGUAGGGGAGAUUGGAAUUCCUGGUGUAGCGGUGGAAUGCGCAGAUAUCAGGAGGAACACCGAUGGCGAAGGCAGAUCUCUGGGCCGUAACUGACGCUGAGGAGCGAAAGCAUGGGGAGCGAACAGG